AACCCUGGGCCACCAGAGCGGAGCAUGUGAACUUAACCGCUGUGCCACCUGGCCAGCCCCUCAUUUCUUUAUUAUUAGUUUCCACUGACAACACUGCUGUUAAAUUGGUGUGGAUGCUUCUGAAUGCUCACUCUCACCUCUGUGUUCAUCUCAUUGUGGAGCAGUGACCAAGCCUUUGAGCGGUGCUGUUCUAGAGCCCCAUGGAAAGCAGUCUGUCAGCCACUCCAGCAAUGGGACUCUGAAGCUUCCAGAGACUAAAUGUCGUGAGCACUAGCUCGGCUAGGUCCUCGCUGGGCCUUUUCACCGUUGUUAUCUUGGGAGGGAGGUGGCUAAGCCCAAGACUCCCAGCCGUGAGGAGGAUGGCAACCUGGCUGCCUUUCUCUCAACAGGAUCAUAGCAUUCUGCAGUGGCAAGAGCUCAGACCUUAAGGUCAGAGACUAGAAGGCAAAUCUACUCCUCUACCUGCGAGCUGUGUGAAUUUGGGGUGAGCUCUUAACCUGUCUGUGCCUCAGUUUCUCCAACCAGCAAAUGGAGAUGGUAACACCUUCCCUCAGGGAGUUGUGAAGAUUAAAUGAGACCGUGCCUGGUGAACCCUUAGCGUGGUGGCUCGUUACUGUUUCUCCUUCUUCAGAGAAACAGUUAGGGCCCCAGCGAAGAGGCAGGACUGCUCCCCGGGGGAGAGGGCAGUGUGGCUGCAUGCUUUACGAGAACAAAGGGCCCCUCUUAACAGAGAACAGAAGGUCUGGGUGGGCGCCACCUCUGGGGAUCUGGACCAAAGAAGGUUUCCCGGGAGAAACUUUCCUCAGCACGAGAACUGGAGAGAGAAAGCUGGGAUGUCAACUCAACCUCAUCCAUUGACCAGAAGGCUAAUUCCAAAUCUUUCAUGAAGAGUUGCUGGGGAAGGAAGCCCUGACCAGAGAGGAGACUGCAGUGCUGGAUUCACCCUGUUUCCCUGUGGAAUCUAAGAUGAACAUGGGGCACGUAAGCCCCAAACAGCUGGUCUUUCUCAGGAGCUGAAAUUGGCCAAUGACAAGCAGAAUUGGUCCCACUGUCCCUUGAAAUCAGAGAAGCAGACAUGUUUUACAACACAAAAGAUACCAGCUUUCUUUGGGAAGCAAGGUAUAGUUGGAAAAAAAUAUCUCACUUCUAAACAAAUUUGAAAGCACGCCUAACUUCAGAUUUAUUUGAUUAUAAAAUCUUUCUCGAGGCUAAUCAGUUUUAGAAACCAUUCCUAUUGGCAGCAAUGAGCCAAUAAAAAAUCCAGAAGGAGAGAGAUAUCACCACAACUCAGAGAAACAAUGUCAUUCAUUUUUUUAAAAAGCAUUGAAUUAAUGUUUACUCCGCUGAGUCAAAUUAUUUAUACAUAUGCUAUAGGUUUUGCAUCCGGAGAAUUUGUUAGCAUUCAGAGUGUGAUAAAUUGCAGCUGACUUACUUGUGCAAAAUCAUCUUGAGGAAGAUUUUUUUUCCAGUGGGAAAAUAUGUGGAUGACACAUGAUGGGCCUUAUCGAAUGUUCUUCAGGUGUACAUCCAGAAAAGCUCAGGAGAAGGGAGAGACGAGGUUUUAGAUGUCACAAUGAGGGUUAAGAAUUUUGGCUUUGGGGCAGUGUUAUAAUGCUCAUCAAGUCACUUCACCUCUGAACACUAUUUUCUUCAUUUCUAGAAUAGGUUCCAAGGUCAAGGUUUUCUGUAAAUAUUCAAUGGGAUAACGCAUGCAGAGAGUUCUACAUGAGCCCUCCCAGACUAAGAAUCCAAUAGAUGCCAGAUUUAUAGCACUAUUCUAACAGAAAAUCUUAGCAUGUUUAUAUUUCAUCUGAGGAAAAAAUCACAAAAAGGAUUAAAUUUGUUGGAAAAAAAGUAAGUCUUCAGCUCCUUUAGCACAUGUGCUCUCUGUCCAUUCUAAGAAGUGAUGUUAACGAAUUAACAAGUACUAGUGAGCACGUGGAGAAACCGGAACCCUCAUACGUUGCUGGUGGGAAAGGAUAAUGGUGCUGACCUUUUCGAAAACUGUUUUCCAAACAGAACCUUCUUCAAAAGUUAAACAUAGAGUUACUAUAUGGCCCAGCAACUCCACUUCUAGGUAUAUACCCAACAGAACUGAAAACGUGUCCACACGAAAACUUGUACAUCAAUGUUCAUUGCAGCAUUGGGCACAAUAGCCAAAAGGUGGAGACAACUCAAGUGUCCAUUAACUAACGAACGGAUGGACAAAAUGUGGUGGAGCCAUACAAUGGAACGUUAUUUGGCAACAAGCAGCAGUGAGGUACUGACACAUGCUCCAACAUGGACAAAGCUUGAAAACAUCAUCCUAUGUGAAAGAAACCAGUCACAAAAGGCCACCUAUUGCAUGAUUCCAUUUACAUGAAACAUCUGGAACAGACAAAUCCAUAGAGACAGAUAAAAAGUAUUUAGUGGUUGCCUAGGGUUGGAGGGAGGGCAGCAGUGGGGAGUGAUGGCUGAUGUGUGCAGGGUUUCUUUUUGCAAUGAUGAAUGAUAGUUGUACAACUUUGUGGACAUACUAAAAAACACUGAAUUGGACACUUUGAAAUUUUAUGAAUUUUAAUUUUGUGAAUUUUAUGGUAUACAAAUGAUAUCUGGAAAAAAUUAAUGAAUGCUUAAUGUGGAAAAUAAGAUUAGAAGGAAACAAAAUUGCGAUUGCAGCCUCCAGGGAGAAUUGCAGCAAAGGUCGUGAUGCAGAUCCUUCUAGAUUCUUAUGCAAAUAUAUACGUUAAAAAAAAAAUAAAAUGGAAUCAUACAGUA